AGAUUGAACGCUGGCGGCAUGCCUAACACAUGCAAGUCGAACGGGAGUAGCAAUACUCUAGUGGCGGACGGGUGAGGAAUACGUAGGAAUUUGCCCUUAAGUGGGGGAUAACCCGGGGAAACCCGGAUUAAUACCGCAUGACCUCGAAAGAGCAAAGUGGGGGAUCGCAAGACCUCACGCUUUUGGAGAAGCCUACGUCGGAUUAGCUAGUUGGUGAGGUAAUGGCUCGACCAAGGCGACGAUCCGUAACUGGUCUGAGAGGAUGAUCAGUCACACCGGAACU
rnacentral:rRNA from 1 species